CAGUCCCUGUCAGGACACAGCAUGGACAUGAGGACCUCCACUCAGCUCCUGGGGCUCCUGCUGCUCUGGCUCCCAGGUGCCAAAUGUGACAUCCAGAUGACCCAGGCUCCAUCCUCCCUGUCAGCAUCUGUAGGAGACAAAGUCACCAUCACUUGCCAAGCCAGUCAGGAAAUUAGCAAUUAUUUAAACUGGUAUCAGCAGAAACCAGGGAAAUCUCCUAAGCUCCUGAUCAAGAGGAUAUCCACAUUACAGCCUGGGGUCCCAUCAAGGUUCAGCGGCAGUGGCUCUGGGACCCAUUUUACCCUCACCAUCAGCAGACUGCAGGCUGAAGAUUUUGCAACUUAUUACUGUCAGCAGUGGGACAGUUUUCCUCCCACAGUGUUAUAA